GUGGGAGUUAAUCAUGUUCCUAAAAUUUAAAUAUAUAUGAUAUAUUAAUUUUGGAAAUGAAAAGAACACUUCUUCAUUAAGUUAUAACUUUAAAACAUUAUAUGAAGAUAGAAUGUAUAUGGGAGAUAUAGUCUAUAAACAUGGGAUGGAAAUCUAUAAUGAUAUAUUUCAUGAUAUAAUUGGAUUAUAUCAAUCCCUAAUAAUAGACAAUAGAUGAUAGGAAGUUUCUCAUAUGAUGAUAAACUUCAAUUAGAAGGACAACUCCAGUGAGACUAAGAAGUUGCUCUUCUCAAAGAGAACGUACUCUUUGACUCCCAAAGAAAUAAUGCGUAAAUAGAAUCCUUUAUGCGCAAGCAGAAAGGUUAUUUAUGUAUUUCAUAUUGUAUGAAAAACAUUGAUAUGAGUUGUACCUAGAACGGUACAAGACGAUAUCAGUGCAAGCCCAGGAUCAGAACCAUGGCAACUGUCAAGUGAGUCCUUAAGUAUUUGAGAAAUACUAAAGGAUAAAUUCCUCAAAGAUUGAGGAAGAAUUAGAGUAACGUAAUGGAAGCGUAAAUGUAUUAGAUUAUGAAUCUAAUCCAUCAUUGGAUGUUUCUUCAUUAUGAAUGAAGAGAUAAACGAAUAUCUCUUUAUUAUGACUAAAGAGAUAUUUGGAUGGAAACAUUAAAGUAAUGACUUUAGUGUCCACCUCUUGCUUUCUUUCUCCUUGUCCCUAGCUGAGGAUGAAUUGGCAAAUUGUCUUCGCAUGCUUCGAGGUAUCAUUUUCACUUCCCUUAUCUGUUCCCCAGACAGAUGUGGUAGACGAAGAGGAAGCAUAAAAUGAUGAAGAUGAGUACUCGAGAGCAAGGCUAGGUAAACAAUCAAGAAGGGGUUUCAGGCAGUCGGUUCCAGAUCGGAAGAUUGAUACCAAGUGCUGGCUGAUUGCUCUCUUUCUCCUUGUCCCAAAACAACGACAAGAAGAAGGACAGGGAGAAAGCAUGAUAUGAGAUACUCUUGCUUUCAACCUUCAUGAUAUGAAAU
rnacentral:lncRNA from 1 species